rnacentral:rRNA from 1 species
CCUACGGGAGGCUGCAGUGGGGAAUAUUGGACAAUGGGGGCAACCCUGAUCCAGCCAUGCCGCGUGUGUGAAGAAGGCCCUCGGGUUGUAAAGCACUUUCAGUGAGGAAGAACGCCUGGUGGUUAAUACCCAUCAGGAAAGACAUCACUCACAGAAGAAGCACCGGCUAACUCCGUGCCAGCAGCCGCGGUAAUACGGAGGGUGCGAGCGUUAAUCGGAAUUACUGGGCGUAAAGCGCGCGUAGGUGGCUUGAUAAGCCGGUUGUGAAAGCCCCGGGCUCAACCUGGGAACGGCAUCCGGAACUGUCAAGCUAGAGUGCAGGAGAGGAAGGUAGAAUUCCCGGUGUAGCGGUGAAAUGCGUAGAGAUCGGGAGGAAUACCAGUGGCGAAGGCGGCCUUCUGGACUGACACUGACACUGAGGUGCGAAAGCGUGGGUAGCAAACAGGAUUAGUACCCCGGUAGUC